UGUAUUUUUGGCUUUCAGAGGGCCCCGGACCUUUGCCACCUCCAUCUGACUUUUUGCUUUCAGUUUGGUACCAAAAGCCGUGCAGCACGCCUGUCUGUUGUUUGUUUGACUGUUGGUGUUGUUUGUUUUCUCUGUGUUCUAAUCUUCCUUAGAACUAACAUGGGACAGUCCCUAACAAUGCCCCUAAGUCUCACUCUUGAUCAUUGAGAAGACGUCCACGACCGGGCACACAACCAGUCCGUCGAGGUUAAAAAAAAAAAAAAAAGGCUGUAUGACAGACUCUCUGCACAUCUGAGUGGCCCACUUUCGGAGCGGGAUGGCCAGUAAAUGGCACAUUUAAUAAGAUCAUUAUUUUACAGGUUAAAGAUCGGGUCGUCCACGGACAUCCUGACCAGGUUUCUUAUAUUAUCACUUGAGAGAGUCUCGCCUUAAUCCCCCCCCCCCCCCGGGCGGAACCCUUCGUGGACCCGAAUUGGCCUCCCCUCAACCCCCAGCCUGUCCCCUCGGCCCCGCCCGGUCUGCCGGCCACGUCUUCCUCUCUCUACCUUUGUGAAAUCAGAGCCUUCUAAGAAACCUGUCCUCCCGGCAGACCCAAACUCCCCUCUCAUAGAUCUUCUCUCUGACAGGCCCGGCUAAAACGGAGGAGGCAGAGCCGCAGGCCAGAUCAGUUGCCGGGCCACAGUCUGAUAAGGGUUUCUCCCCUGUCGCAGGGAGAUUGCGCAAUAAGCUCGAGGUGAUGCCAGAUACAACCUCCCAGGCUUUCCCACUUAGACAGGGAACCGGUGGCCAGACCCAAUACUGGCCGUUUUCAGCAGCUGACAUUUACAAUUAGAAACAAAACAACCCUUCUUUCUCCAGAGACCCGGUGGCACUCACCGACCUAAUAGAAUCUGUUUUACUUACUCACCAGCCUAUUAAGGAUGACUGCCAACAGCUCUUACAGGCCCUCUUAACCUCAGAAAAAAAAAAAAAAAAAACAAAAAAAAAAACAAAGAGCGUUCCUAGAGGCCAGAAAGCAUGUUCUGGGAGAUGAUGGGCGUCCCACCCAGCUGCCUGAGGACCAAACUGGGAUUUUAAUACAGCUGAAGCCCUUCUCUGAGGGCCCAUUUACAGGCCCUACAGAUUGUGCAGAGAGACGUCUGGAGACCUUUGGCCGCUGCUUACCAGGACAAGCUUGAACAUCCGGUGGUGCUACACCCGUUCCAGAUUGGAGAUACCGUGUGGGUACACAGACACCAGACCAAGAAUCUCGAGCCACAGUGGAAAGGACCCUACACCGUCCUCCUGACUACCCCGACCGCCCUAAAGGUAGACGGAGUCUCGGCUUAGAUCCACACACCACACGUCAAGGCAGUCCAGUCUGAGGAAUUGACUAAUCACAACACUACACCCCAGACAUGGAGAGUUCAGCGCACUCCAAACCCCUUAAAGUUAAAACUCCUACGUGGCUCCUCCUAGCCCUUUUGUGGCCUAGAGUCAGUGGGGAAAUAAGCCCCCACCAGACAGAAAUUUCUUGACCAAGUCGAGUGAAAGAUUUCACUCAAAGUUAACAAAAAAAAAUGGGGGAAUGAAAGACCCCAGCUUAGCAGCAGUAACGCCAUUUUGCAAGGCUGUACUUAAGAUGACUGGUUCAGGGAAAGGUUAGAACACUGAGUAUACAGCGGCUGCCAAGCAGGAGAUGUUUGGUUGAAGGCCUGGCAACAGGAUGACUGGGGUUGAGCACCUGACAAUAAGAAAAAGCCCCGGGAGAGGUCCCACACCCUGGUGGGGGGCCGAGUCAGUUGUUAUGUUUCAAGAAGGUAGCUUGGAAACUUGCCCCCAGGCUAAACUCUUGGGGGGCCGAGUCAGCCGUUAUGUUUCAGGAAGGUAGCUAGGAAACUUGCCCCCGGGCUGAACCCUUUGGGGGCCGAGUCAGCCGUUAUGUUUCAGGAAGGUAGCUAAGAAACAUUAGAAUCCACCAAUGAUAUCCCUGUAACCAUGCAUCUGCUUCUGUAUGCUUGCUUCUGCUCCCCAAAAUCCUAUAAAAGCCCAUCCUUGGUUCCGUGGGGCGCGCCAGUCCCCCGAGUGACUGAAGCGCCCGCAGGUGCCUGUGCCUGUGUAUCCCGACAAUAAACCAAAUCCUCUUGCUGAUUGCAUCCUGUGGUGUCUCGGUCUGGUCUUUGGAGUUAGAGGGUCUCCAUCCCGAGGGAAAGUUCUCCCUGAGAGCUUUUCAGUCUCUCAUUUAU